GCGGAGGGCCGGAUGGCCGCUGGGGUCGCAAGGCCCGAGAGGAAAGUCCGGACUCCACAAGACAACGGUGCCGGGUAACUCCCGGGCGGGGUAACCCGACGGAAAGCGCCACAGAAAUCAGACCGCCACACAUGUGGUAAGGGUGAAACGGUGGGGUAAGAGCCCACCGCGCCGCUGGCAACAGGGGCGGCACGGCAAGCCCCACCGGGAGCAAUGCCAAAUAGGGUCCCCGCGCGGGAUGGUCGGCGUCUGCCGAUACCACCGCUAAGCGCGUCUUGGCUGAGAGGGACCGGGUUGGCAGCUUGAGCCGUGCAGCAAUGCACGGCCUAGAGGAAUGGUCAUCGAAGGGGGGUAACCCCGGAACAAGAUCCGGCUUACAGGCCCUCCGCGCGU
rnacentral:RNase_P_RNA from 4 species